rnacentral:tRNA from 1 species
GUCCAGAUAGCCAAGUUAGCAAGGCGUCGGUCUGCAAAACCGAAAAUCGCGAGAGUUGCACUCGCUCUGGACUCCA